UCCCUAAUCAUAAUCGUUCAUUUGCAACUUAAUUUAAAGGCUAAAUUACAGAAAACUCUCCUGUAAAAACUCGAAUUUUUACUUUCUCCCCAUGUCAUUUAAAAACCUAUACUUUGCCCCCUUAUAAAAUGAAAAAUGUUCAUAGGGAGAUACGGUGUGAACUGUGAUGAUAAAAUGAUCAUUUCGUCCCUCACCAUUUUGCCCUUCACCAUGUUCACAGGAGAUAAAGCUGAGGGCAUUUUUGGCAUAAAAAUAUAUAUAAUAAUAUUUUAUAAACGGAACCCUAACGGAUUACUAACGACAGGGGGCGAAGUGAACAUUUUUUAUUUUACAAGGGAACAAAACAAAGUGUAGGUUUUUAAAUGACAGGGGGGAAAAGUGAAAAAUCAAGUUUUGACAGGAGGAUUUUAUGUAAUUUAGCCUAAUUUAAAAAAUGUCUCCCUCUCCUCUCCUUCUUCAUCAUCUCCUCCAU
rnacentral:lncRNA from 1 species